rnacentral:rRNA from 1 species
AUUGAACGCUGGCGGCAUGCUUUACACAUGCAAGUCGAACGGCAGCACGGGCUUCGGCCUGGUGGCGAGUGGCGAACGGGUGAGUAAUAUAUCGGAACGUACCCAAGAGUGGGGAUAACGUAGCGAAAGUUACGCUAAUACCGCAUACGAUCUACGGAUGAAAGCAGGGGACCGCAAGGCCUUGUGCUCCUGGAGCGGCCGAUAUCUGAUUAGCUAGUUGGUGAGGUAAAGGCUCACCAAGGCGACGAUCAGUAGCUGGUCUGAGAGGACGACCAGCCACACUGGAACUGAGACACGGUCCAGACUCCUACGGGAGGCAGCAGUGGGGAAUUUUGGACAAUGGGCGCAAGCCUGAUCCAGCAAUGCCGCGUGAGUGAAGAAGGCCUUCGGGUUGUAAAGCUCUUUUGUCAGGGAAGAAACGGCAGGCGCUAAUAUCGCCUGCUAAUGACGGUACCUGAAGAAUAAGCACCGGCUAACUACGUG